rnacentral:rRNA from 1 species
AUGGGAUUCCUCCACAAAACCUCCAAGCAGACAGCGAAGCUCAAGUCCCUCCUGGGGCUCGCCGUCUCCCGCAUCGCCGUCGCCCGCCAGCCGCGCCUUGCUCGCAGGUCCAUCGCCUGCAGCGAUGUCAGCCAGCUCCUCGUCCUCGGCCACCUUGACCGCGCCCUCCACCGCGCAGAGCAGGUUAUCCAGGAGGACAACAUGCUGGAGGCGUUCGGCAUCAUAGAGCUCUACUGCAAGCGCCUCAUCGAGCAGGCUGAGCAGUUAGACAAGCCGGAGGAGUGCGGCGAGGAGCUACGGGAAGCGGCGGCCAGCAUCAUGUUCGCCGCCGGGUGGUGCGGCGACCUGCAGGAGCUGCUGUUUGCCCGUACCAUCCUCGCAGACAAGUUCGGCGGCGACUUUGCUGUCGCGGCCAAGGAGGGCACCGGCAUCGUCGAUCCCAUCUUGGUCUGGAAGCUGUCCGGAAACACAACGAGCAUGGAACUGAAGAAGAAAUUGACAAAAGAGAUCGCCGCCGAGAACAACAUCUUGGUGGACUUCUCUGAGCUUCCAGAAGCAACGGAGGAUGGCAACAACAAUGUUCCAGACAGUCAGGAGCUCCUCGGCCAAAUGUCAUGCCAGGACGACAUGGAUGAAGGUUCAGAGUCGGACAAUGAACAUCCUCGCUCACACGGAACAAACACACCCGGGCUGGAGAGCGACGAGAAUGUGCACAUCGUUACCAAUUCUGACGGAUCAGAUGAUGAGGUUACAGGCCGGCGUAACCGAAGGUGGUGGCGCCUUGGGUGCGCAUGA